rnacentral:tRNA from 4 species
GCCGACGUAGCUCAGUUGGUAGAGCGCGUUCUUGGUAAGAACGAGGUCUCGGGUUCGAUCCCCGACGUUGGCUCCA